rnacentral:rRNA from 1 species
UACGGGGGGAGCAAGCGUUGUUCGGAUUUACUGGGCGUAAAGGGCGCGUAGGCGGUCAGUGCAAGUCAGUUGUGAAAUCUCCGGGCUUAACUCGGAAAGGUCAACUGAUACUGCUCGACUAGAGUGCGGAAGGGGCAACUGGAAUUCUUGGUGUAGCGGUGAAAUGCGUAGAUAUCAGGAGGAACACCGGUGGCGAAGGCGGGUCUCUGGGCCGAUACUGACGCUGAGGAGCGAAAGCGUGGGGAGCGAACAGG